GACAGAGGGUGCAAACGUUGCUCGGAAUCACUGGGCGUAAAGGGAGUGUAGGCGGCUUGUUAAGUCUUCUGUGAAAUCUACGGGCUCAGCCUGUAACGUGCAGAGGAAACUGGCGAGCUUGAGUGUCGGAGAGGAUAGGGGAAUACCCGGUGUAGAGGUGAAAUUCGUAGAGAUCGGGUGGAACACCAGUGGCGAAGGCGCCUAUCUGGCUGACAACUGACGCUGAGACUCGAAAGCAUGGGGAGCAAACAGG
rnacentral:rRNA from 1 species